UUGGAGGGCAAGUCUGGUGCCAGCAGCCGCGGUAAUUCCAGCUCCAAUAGCGUAUAUUAAAGUUGUUGCAGUUAAAAAGCUCGUAGUUGAAUUUCGGGAUCAAUAUGUCGGUCGUGCCUCCGGUACGUACUGGCGUCAUUGGUUUCUCCCUUCUGAUGAACCACGAUGUCAUUAAUUUGGUGUCAUGGGGAAUCAGGACUGUUACUUUGAAAAAAUUAGAGUGUUUAAAGCAGGCUCACGCUUGAAUACAUUAGCAUGGAAUAAUGAAAUAGGACGUUUGAUUCUAUUUUGUUGGUUUCUAGGAUCGACGUAAUGAUUAAUAGGGAUAGUUGGGGGCAUUAGUAUUCAAUUGUCAGAGGUGAAAUUCUUGGAUUUAUUGAAGACUAACUACUGCGAAAGCAUUUGCCAAGGAUGUUUUCAUUAAUCAAGAACGAAAGUUAGGGGAUCGAAGACGAUCAGAUACCGUCGUAGUCUUAACCAUAAACUAUGCCGACUAGGGAUCGGAUGAUGUUAAUUUUUUAAUGACUCAUUCGGCACCUUACGGGAAAC
rnacentral:rRNA from 1 species